GGCGCUAUCGUCUAGGGGUUUAGGACACGUGGUUCUCAUCCACGAAACCGGGGUUCAAAUCCCCGUAGCGCUG
rfam:Candidatus Curtissbacteria bacterium RIFCSPLOWO2_02_FTLL_40_13b rifcsplowo2_02_scaffold_17566, whole genome shotgun sequence.